rnacentral:miRNA from 1 species
UAGUGCUAAAGGUGACCAAACA